GCGCACGAGACAAGCUUCGACUCGUACGCAGCCUCAAUGUACAAUGAAGAAAUCAUGUCCACAAAGCCCCUCCAUUCGGCAAGGUUCGUUCUGAUGGCAGAUGACUAAUUCGCAUUCGCAGCUUGCCCGCGCUUUUUGCAGUUACUUUUGAUUGAAUUCGUUUUGAGAACUGCGGAAUGCAUUGUAUAAUUUCCAGCGCUAAUUAUUAAUGUCACUCGCUUCAGUUUCGUCGAUUCCAUUCAUAAAAAUUGAAUUGACGCCAGCGAUAAGUGCACCCUUACUGGCAUAUAUUCUAUCGUUUUCAUAACAUAAAACAUGCAGACAGGCCGAUUAACCCUCCACACUCUCACCACAUAGGAUAUAACCUUCUAGGUGUGCGCCCACAACCGAACUGCGAGCAUGUUUUCUGUUAUGGAAAUCAUAAAAAUGAAUGAAACCUAUAAGUGUACCUACUUUAUUCUUAAAUUCAAUUCGAACAUAUGGAAUCAACAAAACUAAUGCAGUGACAUCAAUAAUUGGCACUUGUGACUAUUGCUUGACACAAGCCCGUGUAAAGAGCUUCAUUUGACAGCUCUCUCACCACGCACACAUCCAAUGUACUUCGGCUUUAAAGGUUGUGACUGGAAUUGACGAGACGUUGGCUGUAGUUUAUAGAAUAAUGGUAAAAAACUAUGUGGAAAUGAAACAUCGAAUUUUGGUAAGGUGAACAAUCGGCCUACACUUGAUUUAACGAAUAAUGGACGGUAACUUUCCUGAAAUUAUGGAGAUCAUUGCAACCAUCGCAAACAGUAAUGCAUAAUCGAGUAGAGCGAGAAUAUUGCAGUUGAAUUACAGCUACAUUUUUCGAGAUAAAGCGGGUAAAGAUAAAUAUUUUUGCAGUUGGAGCAGUGGUACUUAUUUUGUAAAAUAAUUGUUGAUUACAAACUGCAACUACUCUUCUUUCAAGCGGUGAUAACGUAGUUAGAACCACUAAGUCCAGUUUUUGGUGGUAUUGUGUUCUGAUAUGAAGUGAUUAGUGAAGUUAUUGUGGUAUAUAAGUAAAUAAAGAAUUACCAAAAUUUACCGUUUCUUCUAACUAGUCAUUUUGAUGCCGUUUAAUCCUAAAUUUAAUUUACUGCAAUUCGAAAAUAAACAUGAAAACAAAGAUUGCGUGCGACAGUCAGUUAUGUUAAAGAAUUUGCAACCUGAAAGCAAUUUUCGGCGGACCCGCAAAAAUUGUUGGAGAGUGUGAUUUUGAUUGCUGGCAUACUUUUCACUUAACGUUUGCCAAUGUCUACUGGUGGUCAUCGGCGUCAAUUUGAAAUUUUUCUUGUCAGUGAAAGAAUGUGUUGGAGUAGAAAUCGGCCCUAUGUGGUUCUAGGGCAGAUGAAAUCAUAGAAGUGAUUGUAAUUUCAGGGAAUUUCUAUUCGAAAUUUCCUGCUGCAACUAAUUUAGUUCACUAGGAGCGCUUUGACAUAUCACGACAAUUCAACAUUCGCAACUUAAUGGCGUUGCAGGCGUUCCUUUUGCAAUGUAAAUCAAGAAGCUGACAGGUCGAUUGUUCUGAGUUGCGCCCUACUCUUUUAAGUGCUGCAGUUCAUUCUACUGCUGUUCAGGUUCGUAUCAUCCCAAUUUUUGUUCAGAUCUUUGCUGGUGUUUUCCAUUUCAGAUGCUGCAUAACUCAACCAACUAAGAGUGAAAACAUACCGAUGUAUUGUGUUAUCUUCGUGCUUGUGUUCAUUCAGGUAUGGAGCACAGUAGAUCUACUAUAGGCAGUACCCACACUAAAAUGAUCCCACUUGCGAAUGCGCUUGCAGAAGCUUAUCUGUACACAUCAGAGACGCUAAACAAGGAAAAGGCAUAAUCUUCGUCAAAUCGUAUUGUGGAAUUGUUUUCAACGAUGGAAGCAUGCAUAACAUUUCUGAAUUAAUCAAUCAUCGUAAUAUGUAACAGACUCGUCUUUAGUGGAAUCUAGAGUUUUCCUCAAUUUUAUUUUUUUUUCAAAAAGAUUACCACUCAGCUACGAAACUUACGCGGGAUAAUUGCCCCGUGGAGGCCUGCAGUCAUUAGAUGCAUGUUCAUUCAAAGCCUGUAAUUGUAGAAUGCCAUAUCAAAUUGCGAUCGUUAAUAGAAAAUUGCAGAGUUUCAUAUCUUCAGGCUACAGCAAUUUACGACCGUAACUACUUAUGAAUAGACAUGUUGCAUAGUUUGCAAUAAUAAAGGGUCUUAUAGAAAAUUGGGAAUUUAUAUUUUAAACCUGUAGUUAGAAAAAGCAAUUUAUAGUAUCAAUUUACGAUCGUACUGAGUGACGCCUAGAGUUAGACAUAAUGCAAUUAUAAAUGCUCUUAUAGAAAAUUGCGAAAUUUAUAUCUUGAACCUAUAGUUAGAAAAAGCAAUUUAUAUGAACAUUUACGAUCGUUACUUGGUGCCGCCUAGGGCUAGAUAUACUGCAUAUUUGCAAUUAUAGAUAUUCUGAAAGAAAAUUGCGAAAUUUAUAUCUUAAACACUAUAGUUAGAAAAAGCAAUUCAUAUUAACAUUUUACGAUCGUUAUUUAGUACCACCUAGAGCUAGAAUAUCCUGCAUUUUACUGUUAAAGAAAAUUGCGAAAUUCAUACCCAAUUUUGUGAUUAGAUAAUACUAGCACCAAUUUCUGAUCCUUGCUAAGCACUGUCUAGCGCAAGACAACUUGCAUAUUCACAGUAAUAAAUGGCCUUAUAGAAAAUUGUGAAAUUCAUAUCUUCACAAUUAAAGAUCCUGCUCAACUAAAUUAUAAAAACUUUUGGAUAGAAAAUUGCGAAAUCCAUAUCAAAUAAGUUGUUUCAAAUAACAUUAACAUUGAGACAAACCUUCACCGUUGUAGAACCAAGAUUAAAGUGUCUCAUAUGCAGAUAUAGCUAUCAAACCAUGUAUUUUUACUAUAUUUUUCUGAAGCAAAUGCUACAUAAAUCGGGUAUAAGCUUUAGACAUUCUCUGAACCUGAUACAGACAAGUAUUUAUAAUAAUAGAAGAGAUGGUAAGUAACCUUGCAUAAACAUAACUCAAAUAUUUUCUCUCAGGAUAUAGCAGCCCUCAAUGAAAUCAG